rnacentral:rRNA from 1 species
CAGUCGCCACGGGAAUACAGAGGGUGCGAGCGUUAAUCGGAUUUACUGGGCGUAAAGCGUGCGUAGGCGGCUUCUUAAGUCGGAUGUGAAAUCCCUGAGCUUAACUUAGGAAUUGCAUUCGAUACUGGGAAGCUAGAGUAUGGGAGAGGAUGGUAGAAUUCCAGGUGUAGCGGUGAAAUGCGUAGAGAUCUGGAGGAAUACCGAUGGCGAAGGCAGCCAUCUGGCCUAAUACUGACGCUGAGGUACGAAAGUAUGGGGAGCAAACAGGAUUAGAUACCCUGUAGUCCCUGUCUCUUAUACA